rnacentral:lncRNA from 1 species
GGUCCAACCAGUCGCGCCCACUCUCUCCAUUUCCCCACCGCCCCAACCACCGAUCGAUCCAGUGUAUCAAGGGUUGAGUCCUGUCCCUAAACACCCCAGUCGGCUGCCCCAAGCUCCUCCUUCCUCGAGCUCGCUCCUCGCCCGAGCGCCUCGCUCAACCGCACCCCUGAAGCACGAGCACCGCACUAGGCCCCACUUGAGGCCCACAUCGCCAGAGCUAGUCCUAAGCCCUGCCUCGCGCCCAAUGAUCCCCUUCCUCUCCUUCCUCGUUUCCCCUUCUUCUACUCAUGAUCAUCUCUCCCUCUCUCGUUUAUUUGGUCACGAAAUCCAUGGAUGCUCAAACUCCGCCGGGAAUGGAGUCCCCAGCUCCACUAGCCCCGGAUCUGGCCAUAUCCGCUCCAUCCCCGAGUCUGCAUCGCUCUGUUGCCUCCGGUUAAUGCACCAGUAAGAGGAAGAUGAAGCCGUGUGUUGCUGCCUAGCUCGCUCGUGUGGAGCGAUGCGCCAAGCCACCGACCUCCGCACCCUUCCUGUCGUUGCCAACCUGCCUAGCCCCCGCCUCCCCAUCAUCAUCCCUGGAGCGUCGUCGCAUCGCCGUCUCCCUGUCUCGGGCAGGAGGAGAAGCACGAGCGCCCGCUCGCCCGGUCCGCCUCCGUCUCGCGGGCCAUCACCAGGCCCAGGCGUGCCUCGCCCCUGCCACCUCCAGCCUUUGCCAUAGAGCUUUUGGCCCCAGGUGAGCGCCACCUAAAUCCGCCCGUGCGCCAUUUUACUAUUUGUCGCCCAUGGCUCUUUUUCGGCUCGUAGCUAGAUUCGGCCCGCGGUACUUUUUUGACAUUGUGCGAUUUUGCUAAUUUCCAGGACAUUUAAAUUACAUAAAAAUGCAUAUUUUUCAAAUUCCCAUAACUAAUUAACCGUGCAUCAUAAGAAAAUAAAUU